rnacentral:rRNA from 1 species
GAUGAACGCUGGCGGCGUGCCUAACACAUGCAAGUCGAGCGAUGAAGUUUCCUUCGGGAAACGGAUUAGCGGCGGACGGGUGAGUAACACGUGGGUAACCUACCUCAUAGUGGGGGAUAGCCUUUCGAAAGGAAGAUUAAUACCGCAUAACAUCAUUGAAUGGCAUCAUUUAAUGAUCAAAGGAUUUAUUCGCUAUGAGAUGGACCCGCGUCGCAUUAGCUAGCUGGUAAGGUAAUGGCUUACCAAGGCGACGAUGCGUAGCCGACCUGAGAGGGUGAUCGGCCACAUUGGGACUGAGACACGGCCCAGACUCCUACGGGAGGCAGCAGUGGGGAAUAUUGCACAAUGGGGGAAACCCUGAUGCAGCAACGCCGCGUGAGUGAUGACGGUCUUCGGAUUGUAAAGCUCUGUCUUUGGGGACGAUAAUGACGGUACCCAAGGAGGAAGCCACGGCUAACUCGUGCCAGCAGCCGCGGUAAGAC